GCUCGGGAGAGCGCCUGCCCUGUGCAGGCCGCCGAAGGCGUAACCCCGGAACCGCUCAGGCAAAAGGACCGACG
rnacentral:ncRNA from 1 species